AUGAGUCUUUGCCAAAAAGUUGUCAGGGUUAUGCUCUCUGAUAACGCCCAAGGAUGAGGCCGCGACCGAUCAGGUUGUUGGUGAGGUAAUGGCUCACCAAGCCUUUUACCGGUGCGGGCCGUGAGAGCGGGAGCCCGGAGAUGGGCACUGAGACAAGGGCCCAGGCCCUACGGGGCGCAGCAGUCGCGAAAACUUUGCAAUACACGAAAGUGUGACAGGGCUAUCCCGAGUGCCAUCCGCUGAGGAAGGCUUUUACCCAGUCUAGAACGCUGGGGGAAUAAGGAGAGGGCAAGUCUGGUGUCAGCCGCCGCGGUAAUACCAGCUCUCCGAGUGGUGUGGAUGUUUAUUGGGCCUAAAGCAUCCGUAGCUGGCUAAGUUAGUCCCUUGUUAAAUCCACCGAAUUAAUCGUUGGAUUGCGGGGGAUACUGCUUGGCUAGGGGACGAGAGAGGCAGACGGUAUUUCCGGGGUAGGGGUGAAAUCCUAUAAUCCCGGGAAGACCACCAGUGGCGAAGGCUGUCUGCUAGAACGCGCCCGACGGUGAGGGAUGAAAGCUGGGGGAGCGAACCGGAUUAGAUACCCGGGUAGUCCCAGCUGUAAACGAUGCAGGCUAGGUGUUUGGACGGCCACGUGCCGUUCUAGUGCCGCAGGGAAGCUGUUA
rnacentral:rRNA from 1 species